UCUACGGGAGGCUGCAGUGGGGACUAUUGCACAAUGGUGGAAACCCUGAUGCAGCGACGCCGCGUGAAGGAAGAAGUAUUUCGGUAUGUAAACUUCUAUCAGCAGGGACGAAAAUGACUGUACCUGACUAAGAAGCCCCGGCUAACUACGUGCCAGCAGCCGCGGUAAUACGUAGGGGUCAAGCGUUAUCCUGAUUUACUGGGUGUAAAGGGAGCGUAGGCGGCGAUGCAAGUCAGAAGUGAAAGCCCGUGGCUCAACUCCGGGACUGCUUUUGAAACUGUAUGGCUAGAUUGCAGGAGAGGCAAGUGGAAUUCCUAGUGUAGCGGUGAAAUGCGUAGAUAUUAGGAGGAACACCAGUGGCGAAGGCGGCUUGCUGGACUGUAAAUGACGCUGAGGCUCGAAAGCGUGGGGAGCAAACAGGAUUAGAUACCCUUGUAGUC
rnacentral:rRNA from 1 species